AUUGAACGCUGGCGGCAGGCCCAACACAUGCAAGUCGAACGAGUGGCGGACGGGUGAGUAAUGUCUGGGAAACUGCCCGAGGGAGGGGGAUAACUACUGGAAACGGUAGCUAAUACCGCAUACCAUCGGAUGUGCCCAGAUGGGAUUAGCUAGUGGGUGGGGUAACGGCUCACCUAGGCGACGAUCCCUAGCUGGUCUGAGAGGAUGACCAGCCACACUGGAACUGAGACACGGUCCAGACUCCUACGGGAGGCAGCAGUGGGGAAUAUUGCACAAUGGGCGCAAGCCUGAUGCAGCCAUGCCGCGUGUAUGAAAAAGGCCUUCGGGUUGGAAGGGACUUUCAGCGAGGAGACUGGACGAGCAGAGGAAGCACCGGCUAAGUCCGUGCCAGCCGCCGCGGUAAUAC
rnacentral:rRNA from 1 species